AGAAGAAGGGCAACCUAACCCGCACCUCACCUCCAGCCCCGAUGCAAUUCUCUCCCUCUCCCUUGUCUGCCUGCCUGCCUCCCACCCACAUGGCCGCCGCCGCCGUUGACCUCGGUGCCCCACCGCCACCGCCCCCCACCCUCUCCCCAUCCCCUCACCUUCUCUCCCUAACCUAGGCAGGGCACCAGAACGGGCAGGCCAUGGCGCUUCCAGAUCCGUGGAGGAGCGCCGGAGGUCGCGCGCCGCCCGCCGUGCGGUUUUGCGCCACGGCCGGCCGGCCGGCGUCUCCGCCACGGUCGUCCUCUUCCUCCUGUGCUCCACCGCGUACAUCGACGGCGCCGCCGUGGGCGACCUCGAGCCUUUUCGCCUUCUCCUCGUCUGACGCGGAGGUGCUCUUACGGUCUUACCCGACCUCGCCGCCGGGCCAAGGAAACCCCACCCGCCGCGAGCUUUUCAUCCCUCAGGCUCACACCUUGAUCUUCACCACCCCACCGCAGGUCCUGCACAAGCGUGCUCAAAGGCAUGUCACCUAGUUGUGGAAGAGCUGGUUAAGGAGUGAGAGCUCCCUUUUGCGGCCCAGCUCACAUCGACACACGACCCCCUCCCUGCUUCCUCUGCGUCCCCGAUGGCUGCUUCUUCUUCGACUCCGGCAUAGAAAAUGGAGCUGAUUCUUUGAGGUCAUCCAGCUUUAUACAACAUCGACAGUGGUGGCCGCCUCUUCCUCGUUUCAGGCAAAUGCAUGGUUACAUAAAGGGCCCUGCUGCUUCCUGCAGGAAUUUGGUCGUCUUGGUCCUCCACGGCGAGUUGGACCUUAUUUAAGCAAGAAUGCUAUCUGGUUAUGUUACCAAAGCAGGACUGGAUACCACAACAUGUACAAGGAGUACCGUCGUCAAGGAGAUGUACAGAGAUGGCUUCCCGUCACUGCCAGAUCCCCCUGCACCCAGAUCAUCAAGACUGCCACUGUCCACUUCAGCAUCUGCAAGCGUGAUAGCACUAAGCAGUUUCACAAGUCAGACACCAGGUUCCCGCUGGUCUACCAGAAGGCCGGGCAGCCAACCAGGAAGCUGAAGACGACCUUCAAGGCCUCAAGGCCAAACUUGUUCAUUUUAUCCAAGUCAUACGUCCAUAACCUGGUCCCAGCACAGGAGAGCAAGCUCCGUCCACCCCAAGCCCUGGAGCAGGCAACGUGAACAUUAGAGCCGGUUAAACGACGUCCGCAUCUGCAGGCGUGUCGACCGGCAAGAACAUGAACUAUGUCGUCCUGGCAUCAGCAUCUGCAGUCGUGUGAUGUUCGGCAUCGGCUAUAACUCCGACGAUGCACACGGCGGUGACAAGUUACUGCCAACCUUGGGCCCAGAGUGGCAAGACACCGAGGAGAGAAGUACCAUGUCAGGACCUCGAUUCUAAGUCACACCGAUCUAGCCUGUAACACCUCAUAUCACUUUGCGGCCUCACGUACGGUAUUCUCACGGGUGUCGCCUUA